AUACGAUCCAAAAUUGAACAUUCAAAACCAGGCCCUUAAUUUCAGUUUUUUAAAAUUUAAACUUCAACUAAAAGGUCAUCUUUUUCGUUGUGUUCUUGUUGGAUUCAUCACUUGCGUUCUCUUCUGGUUGAAGAAGCUUGAAAAAUAAAAGAACAGAGAGGUAGGGUUUUCUGAGGUUUAAGAAAUGGCAGCAGAAUCAUCAGAGGGCGAAGAAGAAACGAAGUUGAGCGGAGGAAUCCAAUUGUUGACGGUAGACGAUGACUUAACGGAGAUGGGGAAAAAGGCCGCUUGGAGUGUCAGUUCUUGCAAACCCGGUAACGGUGUUUCCUCUCUCCGUGACGAUAAUCUCGAAACCUAUUGGCAAUCCGACGGAGCGCAACCCCAUUUGGUUAACAUUCAGUUUCAGAAGAAAGUGAGGCUUCAACUAAUUGUGCUGUACGUGGAUUUCAAGUUGGACGAGAGUUACACGCCGAGCAAAGUUUCCAUCCGUGCCGGUGAUGGGUUUCACAACUUGAAGGAGAUUAAGACCGUGGAACUUGUGAAGCCAACUGGGUGGGUCUAUCUAUCGUUGUCUGGAGUUGAUCCUAGGGAUACCUUUGUGAACACUUUCAUGUUGCAAAUUGCUGUGUUGUCAAACCAUCUCAAUGGAAGAGAUACUCAUGUGCGGCAAAUCAAAGUUUAUGGGCCUCGACCGAAUCCUAUUCCACACCAACCAUUUCAAUUUACUUCAAGGGAGUUCAUCACGUACUCUUCUAUAAGAUGAGUUUACGGAAAGAGCUAAUGAAGAAACCUUACUUUAAAUCAAAGGAUGGCAAGAAUCGACUCGAGCUAUGAAGCUUUCCCCAAAAGUUCAAGAACAAGUUGAGAUUCAACAACGACACUUUGCAAGAACCUUUGUCGAACAAUCCUCUUCGUGAGCCUUGGGACCGCUGCAAUACGGUGGUUCUCUCAUUGGCUUCAACGAUUGGUGCAUGAAUCGAUUCUCAAAUCCAUUAUCUGAAUCGACAUCGCCUUUGACAUAUGGCAAUACCUUUCUCACCGUUUUCAUCAAGGAGACAUUUUUCUCGUUGUUGACUUACAAGAAUCAUAUAAAUUGAACCAAGAAUACUUCCAGGAAGUUGAUUGGUUCAACUAGCCUGCACCAUCACCGUUAAGUUCCCACUGUUUCUGCUCAUACAACUUUCCAAAGAUGUGUCUCUUGGCAUCUUAGAUUAGGUCAUGUUUCUAAUUCC